rnacentral:rRNA from 1 species
GAUGAACGCUGGCGGCGUGCCUAAUACAUGCAAGUCGAGCGAACGGACGAGAAGCUUGCUUCUCUGAUGUUAGCGGCGGACGGGUGAGUAACACGUGGAUAACCUACCUAUAAGACUGGGAUAACUUCGGGAAACCGGAGCUAAUACCGGAUAAUAUUUUGAACCGCAUGGUUCAAAAGUGAAAGACGGUUUUGCUGUCACUUAUAGAUGGAUCCGCGCUGCAUUAGCUAGUUGGUAAGGUAACGGCUUACCAAGGCAACGAUGCAUAGCCGACCUGAGAGGGUGAUCGGCCACACUGGAACUGAGACACGGUCCAGACUCCUACGGGAGGCAGCAGUAGGGAAUCUUCCGCAAUGGGCGAAAGCCUGACGGAGCAACGCCGCGUGAGUGAUGAAGGUCUUCGGAUCGUAAAACUCUGUUAUUAGGGAAGAACAAAUGUGUAAGUAACUAUGCACAUCUUGACGGUACCUAAUCAGAAAGCCACGGCUAACUACGUG